UACGUAGGUGGCGAGCGUUGUCCGGAUUUAUUGGGCGUAAAGGGAACGCAGGCGGCCUUUUAAGUCUGAUGUGAAAGCCUUCGGCUUAACCGAAGUAGUGCAUUGGAAACUGGAAGACUUGAGUGCAGAAGAGGAGAGUGGAACUCCAUGUGUAGCGGUGAAAUGCGUAGAUAUAUGGAAGAACACCAGUGGCGAAAGCGGCUCUCUGGUCUGUAACUGACGCUGAGGUUCGAAAGCGUGGGUAGCAAACAGG
rnacentral:rRNA from 1 species